CAGGCUUCCAUUGGUACUUGGCUUACCCUUAACCUAAAAUGGAAACCGUUUCUCCUUUAAGAACUGCCUGAGCUUCCAUAUUAAAAAGUAACUGGGUGAACCAGAAGAUAGCUCAUUGGGUAGGACACCUGCCUUGCCAUGUGCACAGCCCAGGAUCAAACUAUGAACUCACAGCCACCAAGUUGUAGAUGCUAUCAUCUACCACUCUGACUUCCCUGGGCAGAUGACCUCGCCAGUAUGGCCUGAAUCUGAUCUCUCCAGAGACCUACCCCACCAUCAAAAGAUAUAAACUCACUGGAGAUAUGGAUUGACCUCACAAUACUCAUGUCCAGUGGAAUAGCAAUUAUAGAAGACAGAGCUCCCA